CCGGUUGAUCCUGCCGGACCCGACCGCUAUCGGGGUGGGGCUAAGCCAUGCAAGUCAGGGCUCCGGGCAAUGGCGGGGCCCGGCGGACGGCUCAGUAGCACGUGGCUAACCUACCCUCGGGACGGGGACAACCUCGGGAAACUGGGGCUGAUCCCCGAUAGGUGAGGAGGCCUGGAAGGGUUCCUCACCGAAAAGGUGAUGCGGGGAUGUCCGCACCACCGCCCGAGGAUGGGGCCACGGCCCAUCAGGUAGUUGGCGGGGUAACGGCCCGCCAAGCCGAUAACGGGUAGGGGCCGUGAGAGCGGGAGCCCCCAGAUGGGCCCUGAGACAAGGGCCCAGGCCCUACGGGGCGCACCAGGCGCGAAAACUCCGCAAUGCGGGCAACCGUGACGGGGUCACCCCGAGUGUCCCGAAGAGGGGCUUUUCCCCUCCGUAAGAUGGAGGGGGAAUAAGCGGGGGGCAAGUCUGGUGUCAGCCGCCGCGGUAAUACCAGCAAUC
rnacentral:rRNA from 1 species